rnacentral:rRNA from 1 species
GACGAACGCUGGCGGCGUGCUUAACACAUGCAAGUCGAGCGGAGCGGCGAACGGGUGAGUAACGCGUGAGUAACUGCCCCCCUCUCUGGGAUAACAGUUGGAAACGGCUGCUAAUACCGGAUAGUGGGGGAUGACUCGCGGCCUAUCAGCUUGUUGGUGGGGUAGUGGCCUACCAAGGCGACGACGGGUAGCCGGCCUGAGAGGGCGAACGGCCACAUUGGGCUGAGGUACGGCCCAAACGCCUACGGGAGUCAGCAGGGGUGAAUAUUGCGCAAUGGGGGAGACCCUGAUGCGGCAACGUCGCGUGCGGGAUGCCGGCCUUCGGGUGGUAAACCACUUUCGGCCAUGACGCGGUAGUGGCAGAAGAAGCACCGGCUAACUACGUGCCAGCAGCCGCGGUAAUUC